rnacentral:misc_RNA from 1 species
GUUUGUUUUGUUGCCUUUCGAUCACUUCAAUAUCUUUGACUGGAGGCAAAUCGUCAGAGUUUCUGCUAAGGCUAUCUCUUCUCCUUCUGUUACUUCUCUCACUCCUCCUCCUUGACGAACUAUGUUCAUCAUCAGGGACUACCUUUCUGCCGUAAGAUGAAUUAUGCUCCAAUUUAUCCUUGGACAGUUGCCUCGCGUUCUCACGAUCAAACUUAGCAACUUCAGA